rnacentral:sRNA from 1 species
AUAUAUUUAGAGAUAAUGUUAAAUUUCUUAAACUCCAAUAUUAACAUUUAUCUUCUAAAAUAAUAUCUUCUUGCCAUAUCUCGAUCUUUUCAUCUCAACCGUCGAUCUCGGUCUAUCUUCGGUUCUUCAUAUCAUAAUAUCAUUAUAAUCAGAAUCCGAAUAAC